UACGUAGGGGGCAAGCGUUGUCCGGAAUCAUUGGGCGUAAAGAGCGCGUAGGCGGCCCUGUAAGUCCGCUGUGAAAGUCAAGGGCUCAACCCUUGGAUGCCGGUGGAUACUGCAGGGCUAGAGUCCGGAAGAGGCGAGUGGAAUUCCUGGUGUAGCGGUGAAAUGCGCAGAUAUCAGGAGGAACACCGAUGGCGAAGGCAGCUCGCUGGGACGGUACUGACGCUGAUGCGCGAAAGCGUGGGGAGCAAACAGG
rnacentral:rRNA from 1 species